rnacentral:misc_RNA from 1 species
UCUCCGUAGGUGAACCUGCGGAGGGAUCAUUACAGAGUUCAUGCCCUACCGGGUAGAUCUCCCACCCUAUGUUAUUAUUCUUUGUUGCUUUGGCGGGCCGUUAGGCUCCGGCCCGACUACCGGCCCCGGCUGGUAAGCGCCCGCCAGAGGACCCAAAACCCUGAAUAUUAGUGUCGUCUGAGUACUAUAUAAUAGUUAAAACUUUCAACAACGGAUCUCUUGGUUCUG